UACGUAGGGGGCGAGCGUUAUCCGGAUUCACUGGGUGUAAAGGGAGCGUAGGCGGCAGGGCAAGCCUGAUGUGAAAGCCCGGGGCUCAACCCCGGGACUGCAUUGGGAACUGCCCCGCUCGAGUGCCGGAGAGGUAAGCGGAAUUCCUAGUGUAGCGGUGAAAUGCGUAGAUAUUAGGAGGAACACCAGUGGCGGAGGCGGCUUACUGGACGGUAACUGACGCUGAGGCUCGAAAGCGUGGGGAGCAAACAGG
rnacentral:rRNA from 1 species